GACGAACGCUGGCGGCGUGCCUAAUACAUGCAAGUCGAGCGAGCUUGCCUAGAUGAAUUUGGUGCUUGCACCAAAUGAAACUAGAUACAAGCGAGCGGCGGACGGGUGAGUAACACGUGGGUAACCUGCCCAAGAGACUGGGAUAACACCUGGAAACAGAUGCUAAUACCGGAUAACAACACUAGACGCAUGUCUAGAGUUUAAAAGAUGGUUCUGCUAUCACUCUUGGAUGGACCUGCGGUGCAUUAGCUAGUUGGUAAGGUAACGGCUUACCAAGGCAAUGAUGCAUAGCCGAGUUGAGAGACUGAUCGGCCACAUUGGGACUGAGACACGGCCCAAACUCCUACGGGAGGCAGCAGUAGGGAAUCUUCCACAAUGGACGCAAGUCUGAUGGAGCAACGCCGCGUGAGUGAAGAAGGGUUUCGGCUCGUAAAGCUCUGUUGGUAGUGAAGAAAGAUAGAGGUAGUAACUGGCCUUUAUUUGACGGUAAUUACUUAGAAAGUCACGGCUAACUACGUGCCAGCAGCCGCGGUAAUACGUAGGUGGCAAGCGUUGUCCGGAUUUAUUGGGCGUAAAGCGAGUGCAGGCGGUUCAAUAAGUCUGAUGUGAAAGCCUUCGGCUCAACCGGAGAAUUGCAUCAGAAACUGUUGAACUUGAGUGCAGAAGAGGAGAGUGGAACUCCAUGUGUAGCGGUGGAAUGCGUAGAUAUAUGGAAGAACACCAGUGGCGAAGGCGGCUCUCUGGUCUGCAACUGACGCUGAGGCUCGAAAGCAUGGGUAGCGGACAGG
rnacentral:rRNA from 1 species